rnacentral:rRNA from 1 species
CAGUCGCCACGGUAAUACGGAGGGAGCUAGCGUUGUUCGGAAUCACUGGGCGUAAAGCGCACGUAGGCGGCUAUUCAAGUCAGGGGUGAAAGCCCGGGGCUCAACCCCGGAACUGCCUUUGAAACUAGAUAGCUUGAAUCUUGGAGAGGCGAGUGGAAUUCCGAGUGUAGAGGUGAAAUUCGUAGAUAUUCGGAAGAACACCAGUGGCGAAGGCGACUCGCUGGACAAGUAUUGACGCUGAGGUGCGAAAGCGUGGGGAGCAAACAGGAUUAGAUACCCCCGUAGUCCCUGUCUCUUAUAC